rnacentral:lncRNA from 1 species
AUAUCAGCUGGUUCAUCAGUUUCUUGUGGUGGAAUCUGUCUAUCCGUGUUCAAGUUUCCGACUUGACAUAGGUGCUCAUAUUUUUCUGAAUUUAUUUUAGGAUUUUACGACGUUAUGUUUUUAGUGGUAGGUGGACGUGUCCGUCGACAGCGAUGCGCCUGUGCUCAUAGAGGUAGGUUGUUGUGCGUGCGUGCGUUGUGAACGUGCGCUUAUGUUAUAAGGGUCUACGUCUAGGUCUCACAGAAAAAAAAAGUCCUCUCGGCCAACCGGUUCCCUUUACCCACUGAUGAGCAGUGCCGAGCACCUCUACCCAUAGCAAUAUCGAGGAAGGCUACAAUGUGUGAUGAGGACAUCCCUAGCAUUCAUUCAUCUUCAAAUGAAACUCCACUUGAUAUAAGUGGUC